rnacentral:rRNA from 1 species
GGAAUUUUGCGCAAUGGGCGCAAGCCUGACGCAGCGACGCCGCGUGGAGGAAGAAGGCCCUCGGGUCGUAAACUCCUGUCCUUGGGGAAGAUGGUGACGGUACCCUUGGAGGAAGCCCCGGCUAACUCCGUGCCAGCAGCCGCGGUAAUACGGGGGGUGCAAGCGUUAAUCGGAAUUACUGGGCGUAAAGCGCACGCAGGCGGCUUUUUAAGUCGGAUGUGAAAGCCCCGGGCUCAACCUGGGAAUUGCAUUCGAUACUGGGGAGCUAGAGUAUGUGAGAGGGGGGUAGAAUUCCAAGUGUAGCGGUGAAAUGCGUAGAGAUUUGGAGGAAUACCAGUGGCGAAGGCGGCCCCCUGGCACAAUACUGACGCUCAGGUGCGAAAGCGUGGGGAGC